rnacentral:lncRNA from 1 species
CUCCAGGCUGCCAUAGGGGCUCCUGCGGUUUCUGCAGGGAUAAAAAGGGUUCUGAAAGGUUUUCUGUGCUUUCCUUGCCUCUCGUCCUGAAUGUGGCUAAAAGCAGCAACAUCUGUGUUCCUCCUAUGAGAUGCACACUGGAUGGAUAUAUUAAUAAAGCCUGGAUUGGAAAGAGGCCAGAGUGGGUGGGAUAGGCUCAAAAAGUGUGGUCAGCUGUGGGGCUGAGCCAGGUUCCUGUGCUCAGAAUAGUCAAGUGGGAGGAAGGUAGGCGCAAGAGUGUGAGUGAAAAGUGUGUGUGUGUGUGUGUGUGUGUGUGUGUGUGGUGGUCCAAGACAGGUAGGACAAAGGGCCUUGAAAAUAGCAGGGUGCUGAUAACAAUACCGGAGAGCCUAAGGCUUCCCAGGGGCUGGAACAAAUGGGUGUUUCAAGACUGUGCCUGCUUUCCCUUCACCUUCUGCUAUGAUUGCAAGUUUCCUGAGGCCUCUCCAGCCAUGUCUCCUGGAAAAUCUGUCGAACUGUGAGUCGAUUAAACCUCUUUUCUUUAUUAGUUACCUAGUCUGAGGUAGUUCUUUAUAGCAGCGCGAAAAUAAUAAAAAUGGAGUCUUACUGUGUUACCUAGGCUGAUCUCAACUUCUGGGCUCUAGCAAUCCUUCUGCCUUGGCCUCUCAAAGCUCUGAGACUACGGGUGUGUUACCACCAUGCCCAGCUAAUUAAAAAUAAUUUUUGGAAUGGCAGUCUUGCUAUGUUACCCAGGCUGGAGUGCAGUGAUGCGAUCAUAACUCAUUGCCGCCUCAAACCCUUGGGCUCAAGUGAUCCUCUCACCUUGGCUUCCUGAGUAGCUGGGACUAUAGGCAUGCACUAGUGAGUGCAGCUCCAUAAUUUUUAAAAAUUAGGCCUUUGUGAGGGUUGAGGCUAAUGCACAUGGACUCUUCCAGAAUAGUAAAGGUGAGGCAAAUGCUUACUCUAGAUUGAGAGGGUUGGACUCCAUAACCUCUAAGGCACCUUUCAGCUCUUAGUUCUUAGGGUCCCCCGACCUCUGUUUCUAAGCCUUCUGCUUGAUACCUUUUUUCUCCUAGAUGUCCUCAUCUCCCACCUGCAGGUGAUUCCCACCUGCCACUCAGGUUCAAUACAGGCUGGGCUGCCAUGUGAAAGACCUUUGAAGGGAAAAUCCUGUUUAUCAAAUUAGCUGAAUUAUCAAAGCCUGACUACCACACAAGGAAUCAGAUGCUAAUUAAUGAACAGCCUACACAGCUCCAUUGCCAAUUUGCAUAAAUAUGCAUUGUCAAACUGUUAGGUAAACAAAAGCCAGAUAACUGCCAGGGAGCCAGAGUGAUUAUGCCAGGGCUCUCCUAGUGAGCCUUUGCAAUAGGGAUUACAGCCUCCGUGAUUUUUUUUUAAAGUCAUCCUUUAUUUUUCUUUUUCCACACCCUCCCUCCUCAUUCUGGUUAAGGUUCACCUCUCUUUCCAUUAUCAGCUACCAAACACAACACGAUGGAAACCAAGACAGGGUUGGCCCUCCAUUGAGCAAGAUGCCUUUCCUCAGCCACUUAACAUUGCCUGGGUCUCUUGCAUCUGGUUUAGAGACAGAGGGAGAGAGACUAGUAUGAGGUUGUCCCUGCCCCUCACCCCCAUCUCAAAUGAAGAUACAAGAAGCAUGGGGGUGUAGCCAUAAAACUUGUCUGAUGGAUGGUUUUAAUCCUUGCUAAUUACAGCUAAUUGGAGCUGUCAAUUGUUUACAAUCCUGACUGACACAGGGAGGUCAGGUGAUUCAAACUUACUCAACUGUAGAUAGAGUAAUUAGAUGCAUUGAAGUUAUUAAGUAUGAAGGAAGGGGGAAGCUCUCACUUCCUUGUGCAUAAGGAAUCUCAGAAGAUGAAGCUGUGCUGAAGCCAGAUGUUUCCCGGAGAAGAAGUGAGAUCUGGCAGCCUCAACCAUCAUCCGUCUCUGAGAAUCAGCAGUGGCAGCACGGACAGUAUCUGUCAGUUCAUUUCCGGAAAUAUUUAUUGAGUAUCUGUGCUGUGCUAGGUGCUGUAGGAGGCAGGAUUCUGGCCCUGGAGGAGAUCCCUGUUUUGCUAGAAAGAUAAACACAACCAAAUAUCUAUCUGUGGCUGGGUGAGCACCUAA